rnacentral:lncRNA from 1 species
CCCGGUUUUCGCCUUUCACGCGAUUAAACCGUAAUUAACCUUUGAAACUGACCGGUCUAAGCUAAGGCUAAAUUAAAGACCCGUUAGGAUUCUAAUAGGUUGUUUAAACCUUCGUUCCAGAAUAGGAGACCAGUAAAAGAUACUUGCAUUUGUUUGAUUGAGGUUAUUACUUGCUCAGGUAAAUACUUUUAACUUAUUUUCCGUUAUAUGGGCUUGGGUUACGGAUUUACACGAAAUAGGCUGGCCACUCCUUAAGCAUCGUUAGAGUCUCGCAAGCUUGGGAUGCCAUAUCUGUUGAACAAUAUUUAUAUUUCUAUUUUGAUCCCCUGUGGAUUUAUUUCGACUAUUCGUGAUACUUGGAUAUUACAAUCGAUGGUUGAAAUAUAAUCUAUUUUUAUGCU